AUGAUGACCAGGCUCACGGUACCAUCGUACCACAUACACUCGCAACGUUUCGAUACCGUAAUCGGGCGGAUACCACGAUACAAUAAACUCAUCACCCACCUAUAAUGCGAAAAAUACUGCAAUUAAUUAAGGUUUUGUGUGUCUAUCUGUUAAAUUGGUGUACCUACAUCAGUUUGCUGAACCGUAACAUUCUUCGGCGGCCCAACUUGUGCAAAAUGCAUUACUGGCUCGUUUAGCUGAUCCGGCGAAUCAGUAAAGUACUCGGAAGCUUUUUUGGGAGGAAAAAAAGAAAAGGAAUGUGGAAAUUGUUUUUAAAAUUUCAUUUAACUAUUUGGCCAAAAAUAUAUUCGAAAAAAGGAUUAAACAUAGGGUUAUGGUGUAUCAAAAGAAUUCUCUUGUUUGAACAUUUUUUUUCUUCGAAAGGAUUUUUCACAUGAAAUAUUUGUUUGUCAGUAUUUUUUUUAAAACACUUUUCAUGGAAAUAAUCAAAAUAAAAAAAAAAUCAAAUUCUACGCGAAUUCACAACAUUUUCCAAGAGAAUUCUUCUGAACAUUUUUAUUUACACUCGAAAAGCAACGACGACAACAACAACAACAAAAAGUUCAAUCAAAACACAUGUUAAAUCAGUCAACGUUAAAACACAACAAAUAUGUAUUUAUUCAACAACACAAUAAAAUUCGAUAGGUUCAAGUG